rnacentral:rRNA from 1 species
CAGUCGCCGCGGUAAUACGAAGGGGGCUAGCGUUGUUCGGAUUAACUGGGCGUAAAGGGCGCGUAGGCGGGUUUUUAAGUCAGAGGUGAAAUCCCAAGGCUCAACCUUGGAACUGCCUUUGAUACUGGAAAUCUUGAGUCCGGGAGAGGUGAGUGGAACUGCGAGUGUAGAGGUGAAAUUCGUAGAUAUUCGCAAGAACACCAGUGGCGAAGGCGGCUCACUGGCCCGGUACUGACGCUGAGGCGCGAAAGCGUGGGGAGCAAACAGAAUUAGAUACCCCCGUAGUCCCUGUCUCUUAUAC